GAGAAGCGCUUGCACCUCAAUCUUUCAAGCCAAGAGACUUGUGCUCACACCGAGCCUCUGCCUCAGCUUCCCAUCCCCGAUCCACCAGCCCCGGGGAGUAGAGCUGAACGAAUCCUUUGUCUCUUCCCUCACUCAUCCAGGCCUGGGAAAAGAACCCACAGAAAAAUGAAAACAGAGCCAUCUCAGGCCAGUCGAGACCCUACUGGGUCUGCAACCAGAGGGGAGGGACUUCCUGGAGUCAAGUCCAUUUUGGGCACUCAACAAAACCCCAUUUAAGGCCACCGUCACAACAUCUCCCAGAAGAGGGAUCUCACAGCCUCGACUCUGAUCUUCUUUCCCACCAAUUUCUCUGGGAGAAAAGAACAUCUAUCGACAAAGAGAACUUGACGACCUCUUCUACAGGGUCUCGGCCCAGACCGAAGUCCAAACCGGUUCCUCUGAGUAUCAAACACCGGAGAGUGAGACAGGCUGAAGACACUAAACACCAAAAUGGCCCCACAGAAAUCACCCAUGAAGGAACAAGCAAGCCAAACACACAGAAUGGAUAGGGGAGGUAAAGGAGGGCAACUGCAUGGGAGAUGUUCAAGUGCUUAGUACAAUGCUCUGCACAUAGUAAGCUCUCAAUAAAUAUGA